rnacentral:rRNA from 1 species
GGGGAUUAGUGGCGAACGGGUGAGUAACACGUGGGCAAUCUGCCCUUCACUCUGGGACAAGCCCUGGAAACGGGGUCUAAUACCGGAUAACACUUCCACUCGCAUGGGUGGAGGUUAAAAGCUCCGGCGGUGAAGGAUGAGCCCGCGGCCUAUCAGCUUGUUGGUGAGGUAAUGGCUCACCAAGGCGACGACGGGUAGCCGGCCUGAGAGGGCGACCGGCCACACUGGGACUGAGACACGGCCCAGACUCCUACGGGAGGCAGCAGUGGGGAAUAUUGCACAAUGGGCGAAAGCCUGAUGCAGCGACGCCGCGUGAGGGAUGACGGCCUUCGGGUUGUAAACCUCUUUCAGCAGGGAAGAAGCGAAAGUGACGGUACCUGCAGAAGAAGCGCCGGCUAACUACGUGCCAGCAGCCGCGGUAAUACGUAGGGCGCAAGCGUUGUCCGGAAUUAUUGGGCGUAAAGAGCUCGUAGGCGGUCUGUCGCGUCGGAUGUGAAAGCCCGGGGCUUAACCCCGGGUCUGCAUUCGAUACGGGCAGACUAGAGUGUGGUAGGGGAGAUCGGAAUUCCUGGUGUAGCGGUGAAAUGCGCAGAUAUCAGGAGGAACACCGGUGGCGAAGGCGGAUCUCUGGGCCAUUACUGACGCUGAGGAGCGAAAGCGUGGGGAGCGAACAGGAUUAGAUACCCUGGUAGUCCACGCCGUAAACGGUGGGAAACUAGGUGUUGGCGACAUUCCACGUCGUCGGUGCCGC